CACUAUCGUUAACUGAAUACAUAGGUUAACGAGGCGAACCGGGGGAACUGAAACAUCUAAGUACCCCGAGGAAAAGAAAUCAACCGAGAUUCCCCCAGUAGCGGCGAGCGAACGGGGAGCAGCCCAGAGUCUGAAUCAGCGUGUGUGUUAGUGGAAGCGUCUGGAAAGUCGCACGAUACAGGGUGAAAGUCCCGUACACGAAAAUGCACAUGCUGUGAACUCGAAGAGUAGGGCGGGACACGUGGUAUCCUGUCUGAAUAUGGGGGGACCAUCCUCCAAGGCUAAAUACUCCUGACUGACCGAUAGUGAACCAGUAC
rnacentral:rRNA from 1 species